rnacentral:rRNA from 1 species
UACGUAGGGGGCAAGCGUUGUCCGGAAUCAUUGGGCGUAAAGCGCGCGUAGGCGGCCCGGUAAGUCCGCUCUGAAAGUCCAGGGCUCAACCCUGGAAAGCGGGUGGAUACUGCCGGGCUAGAAUCCGGAAGAGGCGAGUGGAAUUCCUGGUGUAGCGGUGGAAUGCGCAGAUAUCAGGAGGAACACCAAUAGCGAAGGCAGCUCGCUGGGACGGUAUUGACGCUGAGACGCGAAAGCGUGGGGAGCGAACAGG